GCACAAAAUUAACAUGUAUGGAAAUUAGAAUAAGCUUUAUAAUACGCACCAAGUCAAUGUAUUAAAGUAUUUAGAAAGCAUGAUCUCAUCCAAGUAUAAAAAGGAAAAAUUCUAGACGACUGCCGUCGCUGUAUGAAAAUUGCGAAAUAGACCCCACACGCUUGCAAGUCCAUACCCUCGUGCCAUCCACGUCUCUCCAAUAAAAUAACCACUGUUUUAUCUCAAUUAAUGCCGUGUCAGCCGCACCCUCAAAACCACAAAUCACUGAAUCAUCACCAAUUUGU
rnacentral:lncRNA from 1 species